ensembl:lncRNA
CCCUACAAUCCCACGGAGCUGUCCACCCUGUACUGGGUCCUGCAGUCCCAAUCCUCCUGGGAUUCCAGCAGCCAGACCUUCCCUGUGUGCCUCACCACCUCCCACUGGUCCACAAGGUCAGGCCUCAUAGCCAAGCAGAGGGUGGGUCCUUGGGAUCCUUCUAGAAUGUAGGAUAGAAAGACUUUUAAAGCUGUCUGCUCUAGCUGGACCUUAAGGACCACCACUAAUCCCUCCAUAGACUCUUCGCCUGUCAGACUUCCGAGGAGAAUUUAGAAACUCGCCCUCGCCCAGGUCAGAAAUCCUGGAUUCACGUUCUCCCACUGCAGGAUGCAGUUUUCGGCCAAUUCCUUAACUGGUCUUGUCUCUGUUUCCUUUUCUACGAAACCGAAAAGCAGAACAGCGGCGCCCGCCUGCCUUGGCUUCAGGGUUGCGGAGGAGGCAUCGGAGGAGGGUCAGAGAGAGAGACAGAGCGCAAGAGGGUGAGGGGCAUACAGAAAGGGAGACACAGAAUCCGAAGCCGGCUCCAGGCUCCGAGCCGUCAGCGCAGAGCCCGACGCGGGGCUCGAGCUCACGGACCGCGAGAUCGUGACCUGAGCCGAAGUCGGACGCUUCACCGACUGAGCCGCCCGGGCGUCCCUGAACCCUGUCCGUGGAAGGGUUUUAACUCUGUUCUGCUGUUUUCAGAAGCUACUUGUACAAGGAAGUCUGAGGUCUUGGAACCUUUACUGAGCCAGGUGGUGGAGCGGGGUGCCCCUCCCCACAUUUCAGGUCCCCAGAAAUUUCUGGAACCUCAAGCCGAAAGGCCUGAUGCACAGGCAGACCAGCAUGCCGCUGUCGGCCAGCUGACCACGUUGCUGUGCCUACCCUGUCUCUACGGUGGGGCCGACGGCCCCUGUAGUGUGUGUUAGAAACACCAGACCAGAAUUGCCAGGCAGGACCCCCACGCGGCCGGUCACUCUCCCACUCUGAUGCGCACAGGACCAAAGGCGUGGCUGCGUGGAUGGUCUCAUUUGCAGGAUGUCCUGUCACGGCCAGUUGACAUGGGAGAAACCGAGCCAGAGCGUGUGGGGACAGCUUGCCCCCCGGACUUAAGCUGUGGAGCUGGGAUUCCGACCCAGGCUGUCUUGCAAGCCCAGAGCCUGCACUUGGAACCUUUGGGGCACCGUGACCGGUCCCCGGCCAAUGCCCCGAGAAGGGAGGCACUGCAUGCUGCUUGAAGGAAGACCGGCCCUACCGCCUGCCAUUUUUCCACGGUCAGUUUACUUUAACUUUGCGGCUGGAGGGGGGGGGGAAGCCCGUGGCGUUCGUCACCGGAAGCGCUUUUAUUAGAACUGAAAUCUUCCAAGCUUGCAUUUGCUCCUUUAGAACUCUUUGGACGGUAAUGAAUAUGGAUGGGCGGUAGCUUUCUAUGAAUAUGGAGGAGCGGGUGUGUGGCGGAUGGAUUACUAUUUAACAUUAACCGCUGGUAACCUUUCCUCCGGUCUGACUUCCCUACAAUAUUAUCCCGAGAAGGGUCAGCCCCCGAUGCUUUUUUGCAAAAUAUGAUUAGUCACUCCUUGCUCCAUGGGCCUGCCCCUGGACCUUAUGUGCCAUCCGGUAUAAUUAUUAGAAGAAUCUUCUAAUUUUAUUUGAAAUUCGAACUUGACACUGGUGUCAAAGUGCCGUGACCCAGCAUUGUGCUUAAUUUCUCUUUUGUUAGCCUCAUUUGGGCUCCUGAAGAAUUAUCCUCAAAGGAAACAUCCGACACAUUCGACUUUCUUCUUGCCGCAGUCCCUUGUCGGACCUAGCCGUGGUAGCCGUGAAGAAUUAUCCAGAAAGGUCCCACGUGUGUCCCCUCACAGGUACCAGUGGCGACCUGUUCAGGUGGCUCUGCCAAAGCACGAAACUGCGGGGCUGUGGCUUUUCAGAAUUCUCUCUUUGGGCUUGCUGUUCCUUCUAUCUGGAGUGCUUUUCCUUCAUCUGCUUGGUGAACUUCUACUGGAGCGCCCAAGGGGCGCCUGGGUGGCUCAGGAGGUUACACGUACGACUCUUGGCUUCAGCUCGGGUCACGAUCUCACGCUUUGUAGGUUCCGAGCCUGCUUGGGAUUCUCUCUUUCCUUCUCUCUCUGCCCCUCCCCUGCUCACUCUCUUCUCUCAAAAUAAAUAAAUAAACUUAAAAAAAAAAAAAGUAACA